rnacentral:rRNA from 1 species
UACGGAGGGGGCUAGCGUUGUUCGGAAUUACUGGGCGUAAAGCGCGCGUAGGCGGUUUUUCAAGUCAGAGGUGAAAGCCCGGUGCUCAACACCGGAAUAGCCUUUGAAACUAGAAGACUUGAAUCCAGGAGAGGUGAGUGGAAUUCCGAGUGUAGAGGUGAAAUUCGUAGAUAUUCGGAAGAACACCAGUGGCGAAGGCGGCUCACUGGACUGGUAUUGACGCUGAGGUGCGAAAGCGUGGGGAGCAAACAGG